rnacentral:rRNA from 1 species
GAAGUCUAACAUGUGCGCGAGUCAUUGGGUGGUAAAACCUAAAGGCGGAAUGAAAGUGAAGGAAGCUUUGCUUUCCGAGGGAGGAUGGGGAUGUCGGCUCAAAGGGCGGUCCCCCGCACUCCCGGGGCGUCUCAUUCUCACUGCGAGAAGAGGCGCACCCAGAGCGUACACGUUAGGACCCGAAAGAUGGUGAACUAUGCCUGGUCAGGACGAAGCCAGGGGAAACCCUGGUGGAGGUCCGUAGCGAUUCUGACGUGCAAAUCGAUCGUCAGAGCUGGGUAUAGGGGCGAAAGACUAAUCGAACCAUCUAGUAGCUGGUUCCUUCCGAAGUUUCCCUCAGGAUAGCUGGUGCCCGUGUGAGACGAGUCUCAUCCGGUAAAGCGAAUGAUUAGAGGCCUUGGGGCCGAAACGACCUCAACCUAUUCUCAAACUUUAAAUAGAUGAGAACUCCGGCUUGCUUGAAAGUGAAGCCGGAGAUUCGGAUCAGGGUGCCCAGUGGGCCAAUUUUG